rnacentral:rRNA from 1 species
GAUGAACGCUGGCGGCGUGCCUAAUACAUGCAAGUCGAGCGCACGGACGAGAAGCUUGCUUCUCUGAUGUUAACGGCGGACAGGUGAGUAACACGUGGAUAACCUACCUAUAAGACUGGGAUAACUUCGGGAAACCGGAGCUAAUACCGGAUAAUAUUUUGAACCGCAUGGUUCACAAGUGAAAGACGGUCUUGCUGUCACUCAUAGCUGCAUCCACGCUGCAUUAGCUAGUUGGUAAGGUAACGGCUUACCAAGGCAACGAUGCAUAGCCGACCUGAGAGGGUGAACAGCCACACUGGAACUGAGACACGGUCCAGACUCCUACGGGAGGCAGCAGUAGGGAAUCUUCCGCAAUGGGCGAAAGCCUGACGGAGCAACGCCGCGGGAGGGAUGAAGGACUUCGGAUCGUAAAACUCUGUUAUUAGGGAAGAACAUAAGUGUAAGUAACUGGGCACAUCUUGACGGUACCUAAACAGAAAGCCACGGCUAACUACGUG